rnacentral:lncRNA from 1 species
CCUCCCAAAGUGCUGGGAUUACAGGCAUGAGCCACCGCCCCCGGCCUCCUCUGCUGUUAAUCUUAUAUAAACGUGGUACAUUUGUCAAUUUACCAUUGGUACAAUACUAAAUUUCACUCGCCGUGUGAAGAGACCACCAAACAGGUUCUGUGUGAGCAACAAGGCUGUUUAUUUCACCUGGGUGCAGGUGGGCUGAGUCCAAAAAGAGUCAGUGAAUGGAGAUAGGGGUGGGGCCGUUUUAUAGGAUUUGGGUAGGUAGUGGGAAAUUACAGUCAAAGGGGAUUGUUCUCUGUUAGGCAGGAGUGGGGGUCACAAGGUGCUCAGUGGGGGAGCUUUUGAGCCAGGAUGAGCCAGGAGAAGGAAUUUCACAAGGUAAUGUCAUCAGUUAAGGCAGGCACGCGCCAUUUUCACUUCUUUUGUGAUUCUUCAGUUACUUCAGGCCAUCUGGAUGCAUACAUGCAGGUCACAGGGGAUAUGAUGGCUUAGCUUGGGCUCAGAGACCUGAUAUUCCUGUCUUCUUAUAUUAAUAAGAAAAAUAAAACAAAAUAGUGGUAAAGUGUUGGGAUGGUAAAAAUUUUUCGGGGGGUGGUAUGGAAAGAUAAUGGAUGAUGUUUCUCAGGGUUGCUUCUAGCGGGAUUAGGGGUGGCAUGGGAACCUAGAGUGGGAGAGAUUAAGCUGAAGGAAGAUUUUGUGGUAAGGGGUGAUAUUGUGGGGUUGUGAGAAGAAACAGUUGUCAUAUAGAAUGAUUGGUGAUGGCCUGGAUACAGUUUUGUUAUGAAUUGAGAAACUAAACAGAAGACACAAGGUCCAAAUAAGAGAAGGAGAAAAACAGGUAUUAAAUGACUAAGAAUUGGGAGGACCUAGGACAUCCAAUUAGAGAGUGCUCAAGGGGGUUCAGCAUAGCCCUGCCAGCAAAGAUUAUUUAUUUACUUUAAGAGUUAAGAGUGGCGGUUUG